CACAUCUUCAACAUGGAAGGAUGGAUUUUGAAUGAAAUGACUUGUUUUCUAAAAUUGCCAUAGAAGUUAAGAAAGCCCAGUGAUGUGCAUCUGUUUGCCAAAUAGUAUUACCAUAUCUAUAAGCAAAGAUAUAAUUGUAAUGUUCUUGCACAUGAAUUUCUUAAUACCGGUCCAUUCAUAGGUCUACAAGUUUAGAUUAAUAAUGCCUUUAAGAUCAAUGUCAUAUAGUUUGCAAACAGACGGCCAACAUUUUGCACCAUUUCUCCAUCAUAAGUUCCCAAAUUUUCUCUUGAAACUUAUCUUGCACUCUCCAGUGCCAAAAAAGUGAUGUGCAUCUGUUUGCCAAAUAGUAUUACCAUAUCUAUAAGCAAAGAUAUAAUUGUAAUGUUCUUGCACAUGAAUUUCUUAAUACCGGUCCAUUCAUAGGUCUACAAGUUUAGAUUAAUAAUGCCUUUAAGAUCAAUGUCAUAUAGUUUGCAAACAGACGGCCAACAUUUUGCACCAUUUCUCCAUCAUAAGUUCCCAAAUUUUCUCUUGAAACUUAUCUUGCACUCUCCAGUGCCAAAAGUUAUGUACCCAUAUGCAUCAUUACAAUCACUUAGCCCCUGUUUGAGACCCAUUCUUUCCACAAAAAUACAUUUUAAACAAUGUUUUGACAUCAUUUCAACCACACAUUAUUCAAUAAAAUAAUAUUACACGCAAAUUCAAUACUUUUCCUUAUCUUUUAACCACACAUUUUCCAUCAAUACACUAUUCCAAAAUUCAUUUUUUCCCCAAAAUGGGGCUCAAACAAGGGCUUAGUCUCAACUUCAUUGAAGUUCACAUUUUAAAUUGUUCGAUGAGAAUUCAAAGACCGAGAGGAACUUGCCU
rnacentral:lncRNA from 1 species